GAUGAACGCUGGCGGCGUGCCUAAUACAUGCAAGUCGAGCGAACAGACGAGGAGCUUGCUCCUCUGACGUUAGCGGCGGACGGGUGAGUAACACGUGGAUAACCUACCUAUAAGACUGGGAUAACUUCGGGGAACCGGAGCUAAUACCGGAUAAUAUAUUGAACCGCAUGGUUCAAUAGUGAAAGACGGUUUUGCUGUCACUUAUAGAUGGAUCCGCGCCGCAUUAGCUAGUUGGUAAGGUAACGGCUUACCAAGGCAACGAUGCGUAGCCGACCUGAGAGGGUGAUCGGCCACACUGAGACUGAGACACGGUCCAGACUCCUACGGGAGGCAGCAGUAGGGAAUCUUCCGCAAUGGGCGAAAGCUUGACGGAGCAACGCCGCGUGAGUGAUGAAGGUCUUCGGAUCGUAAAACUCUGUUAUUAGGGAAGAACAAAUGUGUAAGUAACUAUGCACGUCUUGACGGUACCUAAUCAGAAAGCCACGGCUAACUACGUG
rnacentral:rRNA from 1 species